rnacentral:rRNA from 1 species
AUUGAACGCUGGCGGCAGGCCUAACACAUGCAAGUCGAGCGAGCGGCGGACGGGUGAGUAAUGUCUGGGAAACUGCCUGAUGGAGGGGGAUAACUACUGGAAACGGUAGCUAAUACCGCAUACCAUCAGAUGUGCCCCGAUGGGAUUAGCUAGUAGGUGGGGUAACGGCUCACCUAGGCGACGAUCCCUAGCUGGGCUGAGAGGAGGACCAGCCACACGGGAACUGAGACACGGUCCAGACUCCUACGGGAGGCAGCAGUGGGGAAUUUUGCACAAUGGGCGCAAGCCUGUAGCAGCCAUGCCGGGUGUGUGAAGAAGGCCUUCGGGUUGUAAAGCACUUUCAGCGGGGAGACGUUACCCGCAGAAGAAGCACCGGCUAACUCCGUGCCAGCAGCCGCGGUAUAC